UUUAAGGUCUGACCUGCCCACUGACAAAGUUAAAUGGCCGCAGUAUAUUAACUGUGCAAAGGUAGCAUAAUCAUUAGUUCUUUAAUUGUGAGCUGGAAUGAAAGGUUUUAUGAGGAAUAAAUUGUCUCUAUUAAAAAGUUAGAAUUUUAUUUUUAAGUAAGAAAGCUUAAAUGGGUUAGAAAGACGAGAAGACCCUAUAGAGUUUUAUUUCUCUUAUUAAUUUGUUUAGUUUUAAUUUAAGUAAUAAGAGUAAUUUUGUUGGGGUGAUAGAUAAAUUGAAUAAACUUUUUAUAUAUUUUACCACUAAUGUGUGAGUGAAUGAUCCUUUAAAAGAUUAAAAGAUUAAAUUACCUUAGGGAUAACAGCGUAAUUUCUUUUGAGAGUUCAAAUCGAAAAAGAAGUUUGCGACCUCGAUGUUGGAUUAAAAUAAAAAUGGGGUGCAGAAGCUUCAUGAUUAGGUCUGUUCGACCUUUAAAAUUUUACA
rnacentral:rRNA from 1 species